rnacentral:rRNA from 1 species
GUGCCAGCCGCCGCGUAAGACGAACCGUGCGAACGUUAUUCGGAAUCACUGGGCUUAAAGCGCGUGUAGGCGGGUCGGCACGUCGGUCGCUGAAAUCCCCCGGCUCAACCGGGGAAGGGGCGCCGAUACGGCCGGCCUGGAGGGACGUAGGGGGGGCUGGAACUUCCGGUGGAGCGGUGAAAUGCGUAGAGAUCGGGAGGAACACCCGUGGCGAAGGCGGCUCACUGGGCUGACCUUGACGCUGAGGCGCGAAGGCGUGGGGAGCGAACGGGAUUAGAUACCCGAGUAGUCC